UACUUGGAUGUGGUCAUCGGAAAUGUGGU
rnacentral:piRNA from 1 species